rnacentral:misc_RNA from 1 species
UUUCCGUAGGUGAACCUGCGGAAGGAUCAUUACCGAGUUUGAAAGGGGGACUUGAGCUGGCCUCUCGGGGCAAGUGCUCGGUCCUCUGCUCAUCCAUCUACCCCUGUGCACCUAUUGUGGGUACUAUGUCGCGGAAGGGGGCUGGAUAACGGCCUUUGGAUGCGCAUAUACUCAUGUUUUACACACUACGCAUGUCCUAGAAUGUCAUUUGCGAUAAUCGCAGUUAAAUACAACUUUCAACAACGGAUCUCUUGGCUCUCGCAUCGAUGAAGAACGCAGC